AUCCAAAUUAUCACUCUCCAAAAUAACUUGUGUGAAGCAGCAGUCCUUGGCUAGGCUUAUUCCAAGGUACGCUGCAUAGGCCUUAGCCAUACGGGCUUCCAAUGGAAAGGGGAUCUUCUAGGAUGCUGAUGCUAGAAUAGGACCCAAAUGGUCUCUUGCUAUUGCUCCAGCCCCUCCAUUACUCCGUUUGGUAGUUGCAGCAUCCGUAUUAAUUUUGAUCAGGUUUGUUGGUGGAGCUUCCAAAUUUUUCCUAAUUUGAACCAUAGGAUGUUGUUGCAAUUUUCUCUCUUCUUCUUUUACGUGCACUGCCCAAAAUUCCUCACAAGUUUUCACCGCAUUCUCGAUUUCCUUCCCUAUCAAUCUCUCUCUGCCUUCGAAGACCAGGAUGUUCCUUGCUCUUAAUAGUUGAUUCAGGUGAAUUGGGAUGCAAACCAGAAUCUUCUGGCAAAGUUGCAGUCUCUUAAAAGGUGACUCUCAGUUUUGUCCUCCGUUCAACAUCUGGUACAUCUAGGCGAGUCAUUGAUUCCUCUUCUGGUCAGACUGCUCUUCGUUGGGAGGGAAUUGUGCAUUACUCUCCAGAGGAAAUUAAUGAUCCUCAGCGGGGCUUUGAUUCUCCAUAUCUCUCUCCAGAGAGCAUGCGAGUGAGAGUGUAGGGAUGAAGUUGAAAGGAAGCAAAGAUGGAAAGCAGAAUGGGGAACAGAAUUUGGGAUUUGAAGAGCAUACCUUAAUUUGAUUGGUGAGGAUGAGAACAAUGACAACAUUCUUUUCUUGCAAUCAAUGGAGUAUCACAAAAGGGAAUGCGUUGAAUUGAAGAGUGCUUCCACCUGAGAGAGUCAGAGUAGUAUCAAGCUUAUUCGAUUUCUUUGAUUGUUGAUUUGUUUCUACUUGAAAAAUUUGCCAAAACUAAAGAUUUAGUAAUCUUUUUAUUAUCUUAAUCUCGGCCACGGAUUUUAGUAAUAAUAUUUCAAAUUGAACCCUCUGUUUUCGGUUCUUUAUAUACUUCAUAUUUUUUUUCAGAAAAACUAGUUAUUUUCUAUUUCAACGUUAAAGAAAACCCCUCAAAAAACAAAUGAUAACUGCUCUUUUUUCAAAAUUUUUGAUGUCGAUUUUUUUUUUUCUGAAAAAAGAAAACAAACAAACAAAUGGAACAAUGUUUUUCAUGAUAACUUCAAGAACGUUUCAAAUGAAUCAUUUGAUCUAUGGUAGAGCCAGCAUAAAGAUGAAAGUUAUCAAGCCAUCAACCUACAAGUUUAGCUCAGCUAACAAAUCAAAAUACUCCCCACUGGACAAUUCCUAUCAUAUAAAAUUACAAUGGAUGGCUGCCCUUUGUGGACGAAACUACUAUGCAGGUGGUCCAUGAUUACCCCCCUGGCUGAUGUGCAACCCUUCCUAGCUGGGGCUUGGGGAGAGCAAUUGUUCUGCCUCUUCUUUCCUUUGUUCCAUAUAUGCCAAAUUGCCAAUCAAUAGUAGUUCAAUCAAGCUUGGUUUUGUUACCCACCGAUAUUUAUACCUUGAAUCAAAAGCAAAAUUUAUUUACUCUAUAUAACAAGAAAAUCAGUUACCUUCUUUGUCA